GUACACGCUGUGACUAGCAUAUCAAUAAGCGGAGGAAAAGAAACUAACAAGGAUUCCCCUAGUAACGGCGAGUGAAGCGGGAAGAGCUCAAAUUUGAAAUCUUAAAGGGUUUCCCUUUACGAAUUGUAGUUUAAAGAAGUGUUUUCUGUUGAGGUUUUGGUAAAAGUUCUUUGGAAUAGGACAUCAUAGAGGGUGAGAAUCCCGUAUUUGACCUUUACUUUCAACUUUGUGAUACACUUUCAAAGAGUCGGAUUGUUUGGGAAUGCAGUCCAAAAUGGGUGGUAAAUUUCAUCUAAAGCUAAAUAUUGGCGAGAGACCGAUAGCGAACAAGUACCGUGAGGGAAAGAUGAAAAGAACUUUGAAAAGAGAGUUAAACAGUACGUGAAAUUGUCAAAAGGGAAGCGUUUGACACCAGUGUUGUUUUUCUGAAAAUCAAUUAAAGAACUGUUUAUGCUAAGCUGUUUAGACUUUAUCAGCUAUCUGUUUAGUUUUGAGCUUUUCUUUAAUGCACUUUUCAGUUAACAAGUCAACAUCAAUUUCUUUUGCUGUAAAAAAGCUUGAGGAAGGUGGCUUGAGAUUCGUCUUAAGUGUUUAUAGCCUCUUGCCUAUGCAGUCGGAGAGAUUGAGGUCUGCAGCGUAGAUCCUUCGGGGCUAAAUGCAUUUGUGCUAAGUUAUAGCAUUUUAUAGACAACUUGUUGACUAUGAUUUGUCCUGUAGCUUACUCGCUUAUGUUAUUUUACCUACGCUUAGGAUGUUGAAGAUGUAGCACAUCAU
rnacentral:rRNA from 1 species